rnacentral:rRNA from 1 species
GGGUUGUGAGGUUAAGCGACUAAGCGUACACGGUGGAUGCCCUGGCAGUCAGAGGCGAUGAAGGGCGUGCUAAUCUGCGAUAAGCGCCGGUAAGGUGAUAUGAACCGUUAUAACCGGCGAUACCCGAAUGGGGAAACCCAGUGUGACUCGUCACACUAUCAUUAACUGAAUCCAUAGGUUAAUGAGGCGAACCGGGGGAACUGAAACAUCUAAGUACCCCGAGGAAAAGAAAUCAACCGAGAUUCCCCCAGUAGCGGCGAGCGAACGGGGAGGAGCCCAGAGCCUGAAUCAGCAUGUGUGUUAGUGGAAGCGUCUGGAAAGGCGCGCGAUACAGGGUGACAGCCCCGUACACAAAAGCGCAUGUGCUGUGAGCUCGAUGAGUAGGGCGGGACACGUGGUAUCCUGUCUGAAUAUGGGGGGACCAUCCUCCAAGGCUAAAUACUCCUGACUGACCGAUAGUGAACCAGUACCGUGAGGGAAAGGCGAAAAGAACCCCGGCGAGGGGAGUGAAAAAGAACCUGAAACCGUGUACGUACAAGCAGUGGGAGCACAGGUUUACCUGUGUGACUGCGUACCUUUUGUAUAAUGGGUCAGCGACUUAUAUUCUGUAGCAAGGUUAACCGAAUAGGGGAGCCGGAGGGAAACCGAGUCUUAAUUGGGCGUUAAGUUGCAGGGUAUAGACCCGAAACCCGGUGAUCUAGCCAUGGGCAGGUUGAAGGUUGGGUAACACUAACUGGAGGACCGAACCGACUAAUGUUGAAAAAUUAGCGGAUGACCUGUGGCUGGGGGUGAAAGGCCAAUCAAACCGGGAGAUAGCUGGUUCUCCCCGAAAGCUAUUUAGGUAGCGCCUCGUGAAUUCAUCUCCGGGGGUAGAGCACUGUUUCGGCUAGGGGGCCAUCCCGGCUUACCAACCCGAUGCAAACUGCGAAUACCGGAGAAUGUUAUCACGGGAGACACACGGCGGGUGCUAACGUCCGUCGUGAAGAGGGAAACAACCCAGACCGCCAGCUAAGGUCCCAAAGUCAUGGUUAAGUGGGAAACGAUGUGGGAAGGCCCAGACAGCCAGGAUGUUGGCUUAGAAGCAGCCAUCAUUUAAAGAAAGCGUAAUAGCUCACUGGUCGAGUCGGCCUGCGCGGAAGAUGUAACGGGGCUAAACCAUGCACCGAAGCUGCGGCAGCGAUAGUUGGGUAGGGGAGCGUUCUGUAAGCCUGCGAAGGUGGCCUGUGAGGGUUGCUGGAGGUAUCAGAAGUGCGAAUGCUGACAUAAGUAACGAUAAAGCGGGUGAAAAGCCCGCUCGCCGGAAGACCAAGGGUUCCUGUCCAACGUUAAUCGGGGCAGGGUGAGUCGACCCCUAAGGCGAGGCCGAAAGGCGUAGUCGAUGGGAAACGGGUUAAUAUUCCCGUACUUGGUGUUACUGCGAAGGGGGGACGGAGAAGGCUAUGUUGGCCGGGCGACGGUUGUCCCGGUUUAAGCGUGUAGGUGUGUGUUCCAGGUAAAUCCGGUUCACUUUAACACUGAGGCGUGACGACGAGGCACUACGGUGCUGAAGCAACAAAUGCCCUGCUUCCAGGAAAAGCCUCUAAGCAUCAGGUAACAUCAAAUCGUACCCCAAACCGACACAGGUGGUCAGGUAGAGAAUACCAAGGCGCUUGAGAGAACUCGGGUGAAGGAACUAGGCAAAAUGGUGCCGUAACUUCGGGAGAAGGCACGCUGACACGUAGGUGAAGUGAUUUACUCAUGGAGCUGAAGUCAGUCGAAGAUACCAGCUGGCUGCAACUGUUUAUUAAAAACACAGCACUGUGCAAACACGAAAGUGGACGUAUACGGUGUGACGCCUGCCCGGUGCCGGAAGGUUAAUUGAUGGGGUCAGCGCAAGCGAAGCUCCUGAUCGAAGCCCCGGUAAACGGCGGCCGUAACUAUAACGGUCCUAAGGUAGCGAAAUUCCUUGUCGGGUAAGUUCCGACCUGCACGAAUGGCGUAAUGAUGGCCAGGCUGUCUCCACCCGAGACUCAGUGAAAUUGAACUCGCUGUGAAGAUGCAGUGUACCCGCGGCAAGACGGAAAGACCCCGUGAACCUUUACUAUAGCUUGACACUGAACAUUGAGCCUUGAUGUGUAGGAUAGGUGGGAGGCUUUGAAGUGUGGACGCCAGUCUGCAUGGAGCCGACCUUGAAAUACCACCCUUUAAUGUUUGAUGUUCUAACGUGGACCCGUAAUCCGGGUUGCGGACAGUGUCUGGUGGGUAGUUUGACUGGGGCGGUCUCCUCCUAAAGAGUAACGGAGGAGCACGAAGGUUGGCUAAUCCUGGUCGGACAUCAGGAGGUUAGUGCAAUGGCAUAAGCCAGCUUGACUGCGAGCGUGACGGCGCGAGCAGGUGCGAAAGCAGGUCAUAGUGAUCCGGUGGUUCUGAAUGGAAGGGCCAUCGCUCAACGGAUAAAAGGUACUCCGGGGAUAACAGGCUGAUACCGCCCAAGAGUUCAUAUCGACGGCGGUGUUUGGCACCUCGAUGUCGGCUCAUCACAUCCUGGGGCUGAAGUAGGUCCCAAGGGUAUGGCUGUUCGCCAUUUAAAGUGGUACGCGAGCUGGGUUUAGAACGUCGUGAGACAGUUCGGUCCCUAUCUGCCGUGGGCGCUGGAGAACUGAGGGGGGCUGCUCCUAGUACGAGAGGACCGGAGUGGACGCAUCACUGGUGUUCGGGUUGUCAUGCCAAUGGCACUGCCCGGUAGCUAAAUGCGGAAGAGAUAAGUGCUGAAAGCAUCUAAGCACGAAACUUGCCCCGAGAUGAGUUCUCCCUGAGACUUAGAGUCUCCUGAAGGAACGUUGAAGACGACGACGUUGAUAGGCCGGGUGUGUAAGCGCAGCGAUG